rnacentral:tRNA from 1 species
UCCCAUAUAGUCCUAGGUGGUUAGGAUACGUGGCUUUCACCCACGCGACCCGAGGUUCGAGUUCCCGGUGUGGGAA